CCUCCUCGAUCUGCUGGGGGCAGAUGUAGUGAAUGUGGGCGUCCAUGCCACCGGCUGUAAGGAUCUUUCCUUCUCCGGCAAUGGCCUCCGUUCCCGGACCAAUGAUGAUGUCGACGCCGCUCUGCAUGUCCGGAUUGCCUGCCUUGCCAAUGGCGGCAAUGCGGCCGUCUUUGAGGCCGAUGUCGGCUUUGUAGAUGCCGGAAUGAUCGACCACCAAGGCGUUGGUGAUGACCGUAUCGACGGCUCCUUCGGCGCGGGACAGCUGGCUCUGGCCCAUGCCAUCGCGGAUG
rnacentral:sRNA from 1 species